rnacentral:snoRNA from 1 species
CUGGAGAUGAUGAUGGUUACAAGCACAUAUCUUAAUUGUUUAUGAGGAAGUACAUUUUACUGAAUCUCCAU